ACGGGAGGCAGCAGUCGAGAAGCUUCGGCAAUGGGCGAAAGCCUGACCGAGCGACGCCGCGUGAGCGAUGAAGGUCCUAUGGAUUGUAAAGCUCUGUCAGAUUGGGAAGAAAACUUCGCGGCGAAUAACCGCGAAGCUUGACGGUACCAUCAGAGGAAGCACCGGCUAACUCCGUGCCAGCAGCCGCGGUAAUACGGAGGGUGCAAGCGUUGUUCGGAUUCACUGGGUAUAAAGGGUGCGCAGGCGGCCUGGUAAGUCAGGGGUGAAAUAUGACGGCUCAACCGUCAAACGGCCUCUGAAACUGCCUGGCUUGAGUCCGGGAGAGGAAGGUGGAAUUCCUGGUGUAGCGGUGAAAUGCGUAAAUAUCAGGAGGAACACCGGUGGCGAAGGCGGCCUUCUGGCCCGGUACUGACGCUCAUGCACGAAAGCUUGGGGAGCGAACAGGAUUAGAUACCCUGGUAGUCCUAGCCGCCCUCAUGGCACUAGGUGUUGGAGG
rnacentral:rRNA from 1 species